rnacentral:rRNA from 1 species
GAUGAACGCUGGCGGCGUGCCUAAUACAUGCAAGUCGAGCGAACGGACGAGAAGCUUGCUUCUCUGAUGUUAGCGGCGGACGGGUGAGUAACACGUGGAUAACCUACCUAUAAGACUGGGAUAACUUCGGGAAACCGUAGCUAAUACCGGAUAAUAUUUUGAACCGCAUGGUUCAAAAGUGAAAGACGGUCUUGCUGUCACUUAUAGAUGGAUCCACGCUGCAUUAGCUAGUUGGUAAGGUAACGGCUUACCAAGGCAACGAUGCAUAGCCGACCUGAGAGGGUGAUCGGCCACACUGGAACUGAGGCACGGUCCAGACUCCUACGGGAGGCAGCAGUAGGGAAUCUUCCGCAAUGGGCGAAAGCCUGACGGAGCAACGCCGCGUGAGUGAUGAAGGUCUUCGGAUCGUAAAACUCUGUUAUUAGGGAAGAACAUAUGUGUAAGUAACUGUGCACAUCUUGACGGUACCUAAUCAGAAAGCCACGGCUAACUACGUG